ACGGAAGGCAGCAGUAGGGAAUCUUCGGCAAUUGGGGCAACCCUUACCGAGCAACGCCGCGUGAGUGAAGAAGGUUUUCGGAUCGUAAAUCUCUGUUGUAAGAGAAGAACGUGUUUGAGAGUGGAAAGUUCACACAGUGACUGUAACUUACCAGAAAGGGACGGCUAACUACGUGCCAGCAGCCGCGGUAAUACGUAGGUCCCGAGCGUUGUCCGGAUUUAUUGGGCGUAAAGCGAGCGCAGGCGGCUUAAUAAGUCUGAAGUUAAAGGCAGUGGCUUAACCAGUGUUCGCUUUGGAAACUGUUAGACUUGAGUGCAGAAGGGGAGAGUGGAAUUCAAUGUGUAGCGGUGAAAUGCGUAGAUAUAUGGAGGAACACCGGUGGCGAAAGCGGCUCUCUGGUCUGUAACUGACGCUGAGGCUAGAAAGCGCGGGGAGCAAACAGGAUUAGAUACCCUGGUA
rnacentral:rRNA from 1 species